CCGGGUCCGCCCCCACGCGGCCGCCUGCACAGGGGGUUCCAGCCACCCGCGCUCUCCCAGGAAUGAAGGAAAACAGGCAAUAAGGCAAGAAUCGCUGUCGAAGGAGUCUGCGCCACCUGCUCGCACAGCUCACUUGUGCCUUCUGAGCCUGCUGGAGCCCAGUGUACAUAUGCCGUCUCCGCGUGAUUAGAGAUUGCUGCUGCACGUGCCCAAUCCCGUGGCGGGGCUGGAACACAAACGGGGUGGUGUUCCAGCUGCAACCAUGCAGAUGAAGACUAUACCCUAGGAGAUGGAGGAACAACAGACAAGAAAGAAACCUGGGUUCCUGAAUAACCACGUGGAGCCAAGCAGCUUACUUAUCUCAAGCCACUGUUGCCCACCUCCAGAUUGGUUCGUGAGAUAGAAAUAAGCUUCUAUCCUUUUUGCAUGACUGCAUUUUGGGGUCUGUGUUAUAGCAGCUUAAUCUCUAUCUGAAUUAUAUUGGAUUUAAGUGUCUGAAGCCCAAUGACUUAACCUUUCCUGAGGCAAAGGCACAGAAGAGCCUAUUUUCCAAAAAUGGGAAAACGAAGACAUAGGAAGGAAAAACCCAACAAAUGGUCAGGAAAUUAUACUGCUAUAGGCUCUUCUCGGAUGAGUGUCUAGUCCUAAUGAGGGGGCUGUGGGAAUUCAAAGACGGAGAAACUGCCUUCAGAUAGAGCUAGUAGGGAAGACCCCUGCAGACAGUGACAUUAAAUUGAAGGUAGAAUUUGGAUAGAUGGACAUGGGGAGGGCAAUUCAAACAAAGGGAACUUGAGCAACAGGGUGGAGGUAGAAAGGUGCCAGAUCUUUUGGGAGAUGCAGAAGUGAUAUCACACAGUUUAAAGCCAGAGUUAAAUAUAAACCGAUACUUAGAAGCUUAAAUUCAACAUGGCAAAUUCACAGGUUUAGUUUCCUAAAAGAUUUUUCAUGUUUUUAUUACAGAACUGUCUGCAAACAAAUCUUUACUUGAUGAGAAGUUUAAAUAUAAUUAAAUCUAGAAUAUUACAUGAAUAUUUUAUUGCUUUAUUAAGUCCUUCAAACAACACAUUUAUUUAUUUAUUUAUUUAUUUAUUUAUUUAUUAUUUUUUUUGAGACAGAGUCUCACUCUGUUGCCUAGGCUGGAGUACAGUGGCACGAUCUCAGCUCACUGCAUCCUCCACCUCCCAGGUUCAAGCGAUUCUCC
rnacentral:lncRNA from 1 species